rnacentral:tRNA from 1 species
AAGGCUUUAAGUUAAAUAAAAACUAAUAUCCUUCAAAGUUAUAAAUAAAGAGGUUUAUCUUUAAGUCUUAGUAUUAAUUUACACCACAAG